GGUGGCACUGAUCAGCAUAGGUGAUUCACAGUUUAGAGGUGCAGAGUUCGAUUCCGGACUCGCCUUCCUGUGUGGAGUUUGCAUGUUCUCCCCGUGGCAGCCAGAAGCUACGUACAAUUAACCUGUGUAAAUGGACGGACGCAUCAUACAGUCAAAGUAAUAUUAUUUAUAAUCAUACCUCACAUUAUAGAUGGUCAUUUAGGUGAAAGGCUCAAACAUGCAUGUAGACAUUUAUGAACA